GUCUUAGGUUUAGUCUAGAAUGCGCUGCCCUCUACACUAGGCUCGAACCGUCGGAUUGGUCGCAUAUUGUUCGAUGGACGGGUGCCACUAGAGCAGGAUUUGAGAUUUAUGGUUUGUUGGCGGAGUAGGUUACCGCCAGGGGUGCGGUGGUAGGGUCCCACGCCAGGCGUGCUUCUUGCUUCGCUCUCUUUUCCGGGGAUUUUCCUGAGAAAAAAAUCGGGGGCCGAGAAAAUAACAGGAAUCAGGGUCAUUGAGAUGGACGGUUGGGAUUGGAACGGGACCAAUAUAUUAACAACCCGUGGCCAGCCGCUUGAUGGCUCCUGAGAAAAGGAGGACAGAAGGGGCGCGUGGCGCGCGUGCACGAUAGGGUGGAGGGGAAAGACGGUCAGGAUUUGAUGGGAAGGGAGACUUCGUGAUUGACGGAUCAGCC
rnacentral:lncRNA from 1 species